CCUAGGGGUGGCAGCAGUGAGGAAUAUUGGUCAAUGGACGAGAGUCUGAACCAGCCAAGUAGCGUGAAGGAUGACUGCCCUAUGGGUUGUAAACUUCUUUUAUAGGGGAAUAAAAUGUAGCACGUGUGGGAUUUUGUAUGUACCAUAUGAAUAAGGAUGGGCUAACUCCGGGCCAGCAGCCGCGGUAAUACGGAGGAUCCGAGCGUUAUCCGGAUUUAUUGGGUUUAAAGGGAGCGUAGGUGGCUUGUGAAGUCAGUUGUGAAAGUUUGCGGCUCAACCGUAAAAUUGCCGUUGAAACUGGCAGUCUUGCGUACAGUAGCGCUGGGCGGAAUUCGUGGUGUAGCUG
rnacentral:rRNA from 1 species